GUGACCCCGACGCCGCCAUCUUACAACCGGGCGGGGCUGAGAUGUGGGGGAGCAACUGCUAGUGGUUUCUUUCUAGCCCGGCACGGGAAUUUUAAAGGAAACUCAAGUGCCUCUUGUGCAGAAGCAGAAGAACGUAACAGUGGCCACAAUAUGAAAACUGGAAAUCACAGCAAAUAAAUGAAAAAUGAAAAGUGUCAGAGAUCCUGCAGGCAUGCUGUUUACAUUUAGGAUCAUCUUUCACAUCCAAAUGAAACACAAAUGUCCUUGUAUGCUCCAGGAAAGUGACUAAUUCAGGAGUUUAUCUGCUGCAGUCCUCAGAACCUGACUGGUUUUUUAAUUACCUAACUUCCAAGGCAUUUGCUUUUUGGUGUGUGUUUCUUUAGUGUCUUGUACAGCAUGACCUAUUUUUUAACAUUUUGUUCUUCUGACUUCCCUCUGAUGAGCUGAUUGUUUUACAUCAUUAUCUGAUUUCUCUAGCUGUUAUCCAGCUCAGUAACUAACUUUUCUUUUUCCUUGUGAGAGUGCUUUGGGAGGUGUCUGAUUUAGAAAUCAUUCAGGUCACCAUAGGAAAAAAUCCAGUUAUUAUCACAUUCAGACACGGAGGGAAAACUUGUGUAGGAUACCUUUUAACUUGCUUCAAUCUCUGUUGAAGCCCACUACUUGGAGAAAAAACGCCAAACAGAUUUUGUUUUGACCUUUUGGCAUUUCUGUGUAGGGAUUAAAAAACUAUUCUUUGUCCUUAUUUUGCAGCUGUAGAAGGAUAUCCAAACCUUUAACAUUGCUUAUGGAAAGGAUCAACAGUUCAAGCUUCAAGGCGUUAGGUUGAAAUAUGUUUUCAGUUUCUAGUCAGACUUCAUCCCAACCUCUGACAUUUUCUGCAUUCUUUACUAGUUUUAACUCUCAUUGCAGUUUCUGUCAUUCUGAGCAGGUUGCUUUUUGUAAAACAUGCUAAAUUAAAUAUGGGAAUUGUAAUAAUUACUGUUUGUUUUAAUUCAAAGCCAAAGGACUCAUAUUUCUGUAGGCAUCAGGUGAGCUCCAUUCCCACAGUACCUUCAGAUGAAAAUGUCUCUUCACAGUACUAUCAGUCUCCCAUAGUAGUGUGGGACCUUCUGUACAUUAAUUCCCCAUACAGCAAGAAAGAAGAGGAACAUAAUAAGGUAAUGAGUGGCAGGAGAUGCUAAGAACUGAUAGUUUUACUCUGGGUAUUUGAGGUAUUAUUUUUUUCUCUCUAGAGACCCUCAUGGAAAUCUUUACAUCUGUACUGAAUAGAAAAAAACAA